AGAACGAACGCUGGCGGCGUGCUUAACACAUGCAAGUCGAGUGCACAGUUCCCGUAGCAAUACGGGGAUGGGUGCACGGCGCACGGGUGCGUAACACGUGGGCAAUCUGCCCUCCGAUGGGGAAUAACCCCGCGAAAGCGGGGCUAAUUCCGCAUAACAUUCCCUGGACCUCGGUCUGGGGAUUCAAAGCCGUAAGGCGUCGGAGGAGGAGCCCGCGCCCGAUUAGCUAGUUGGCGAGGUAACGACUCACCAAGGCAAUGAUCGGUAGCUGGUCUGAGAGGAUGGCCAGAUGGACUGCACACUGGGACACUGAGACACGGUCCCAGACUCCUACGGGAGGCAGCAGUGGGGAAUCUUGCGCAAUGGGCGAAAGCCUGACGCAGCGACGCCGCGUGGGGGAUGAAGCUUCUCGGAGUGUAAACCCCUUUCGACUGGGACGAAUGCCUCGCAAGAGGAGUGACGGUACCAGUAGAAGAAGCCCCGGCUAACUACGUGCCAGCAGCCGCGGUAAGACGUAGGGGGCCAGCGUUGUUCGGAAUUACUGGGUGUAAAGGGUUCGUAGGCGGUGCGGCAAGUUGGGAGUGAAAUCUCUGGGCUUAACCCAGAGGCUGCUUCCAAAACUGCCGUGCUCGAGUGUGGGAGAGGCGCGUGGAAUUGCAGGUGUAGCGGUGAAAUGCGUAGAUAUCUGCAGGAACACCCGUGACGAAAGCGGCACGCUGGACCUCAACUGACGCUGAGGAACGAAAGCUAGGGGAGCAAACAGGAUUAGAUACCCUGGUAGUCCUAGCCCUAAACGAUCAGGACUUGGGGUGCCGCCCGUUCGGGCGUCGUCCCGGAGCUAACGCGUUAAGUCCUGCACCUGGGGAGUUCGGUCGCAAGACUG
rnacentral:rRNA from 1 species